rnacentral:lncRNA from 1 species
CUGCUUUCCACGGGGUUAUGGAGAUAAGAUGAAGAUCUUGGGGGGGGGGAACAGACACAUUUUUGUUGUGGUGGCUGUUGACGACGUGAGCUCUUGUAACCCUAGGAAACGAGAACUCUGCCUAGAUACGCCAGCCAACAAGACUAAAUCCAGCUAAAAAUAAACCAACUCUUACAUGAACUCAAUCGAACAAAUGUCUUAUUUUUUGGCUUUCUGACAAACCAGAUUGACCGAAUGUUCCUUCUGGACUAGUUGUUUUGGCAUGCUCUUCAGACGUGGCCUCUGACAGCAUCUGCGUCAUGACAAGGUUGACUUUGGAGGACCGACGCACAACGGGGACCCGUGGUUUCUGGCAGCCACAGGGUGACCUGGGAGGGUCAGAAUGAGAACACACAUGUUGGGGCUGGAUCCCAGGAUAAGAUCAGCCUGCCUGGGUGCAACCAUGAGACAGACUCGUGGCUCCUGAGAGGAUGGAAACAGGAGUGUUUAGGGAACGAGCACGAUUUUGGUCACGGCGUCUGAACCUGAGAUACUCACAGUCAGUCUUCCCCAGAGAACAGAACAUGGGAGAAUCACGCUAUGGCUGCUUCUGGAUUUGAUUCCAUCCACUGGAUGGGACUAUGCAUAGCUAUUUUUGCGAGUGGUAGCCAGGAGGAGGCUGCGGGCAGAGACGCUGAAAGUAGCACGAGCUGCUGGACUGCAGACGAAGCAGGAGCCGCCACACGGUGCUGGAGCAGUGGAAGUGAGCUGGCGGACGGGGGCAAGCUUUGGGAAACAUGGAGGCUGACUGGCAGGUCUUGGAGCUGCUGUGGCGGUCUUAGAGGUGGGCCCUGGUGAGGCCUGCCCUGACGUCCAUGCUCUUGCCAGAGCCGGGUCAUCGGGACCAAUGGCAUACUGUAGAAUGGUGAUGGGUCCCUCUCGAGAUUAGGUCACCAAAGACUGUGCCUUGCAUUUGGGCUCUUUCUCUUGGAUCACUCGCUAUUGG